GUAAAAAUUUAACAAUUCUAUGUUGAUACUGAAUCACUGCAGCAUACCCUUCUGUCUCCUCCUGUAGAUGAGUAUAAGAGUAAGGUGGUGUGUGAAGAGGAGCGUCUGAGGCUGAGCUGUAAGACCGGGAUGCAGAUUGCUGUGUAUUCAGCCAUGUUUGGACGCACACAGCAAGGAACACUGGAAUGUCCUCCACAUCACCGGAGGGCGCCGUCUGUGGAUGCAGUUUUCACCCCUACCUGACCUGCAACAGGA
rnacentral:lncRNA from 1 species